rnacentral:rRNA from 1 species
UACGUAGGGGGCGAGCGUUGUCCGGAUUUAUUGGGCGUAAAGAGCUCGUAGGCGGCUUAGCAAGUCGGAUGUGAAAUCCCUCGGCUCAACCAAGGAAGUGCAUCCGAAACUGCUGAGCUUGAGUACGAAAGAGGAUCGCGGAAUUCCCGGUGUAGAGGUGAAAUUCGUAGAUAUUAGGAAGAACACCAGUGGCGAAGGCGGCUCACUGGUCCGGUACUGACGCUGAGGUGCGAAAGCGUGGGGAGCAAACAGG